AGAGUCGCCGGGUCUAGACCCGAAGCGGAGUGAUCUACCCAUGGCCAGGGUGAAGCGUCGGUAAGACGUCGUGGAGGCCCGAACCCACUUCAGUUGAAAAUGGAGGGGAUGAGUUGUGGGUAGGGGUGAAAGGCCAAUCAAACUCCGUGAUAGCUGGUUCUCCCCGAAAUGCAUUUAGGUGCAGCGUCACAUGUUUCUUACUGGAGGUAGAGCUACUGGAUGGCCGAUGGGCCCCACAGGGUUACUGACGUCAGCCAAACUCCGAAUGCCGGUAAGUGAGAGUGUGGCAGUGAGACUGCGGGCGAUAAGGUUCGUAGUCGAGAGGGAAACAGCCCAGAUCGCCGGCUAAGGCCCCUAAGCGUGUACUAAGUGGAAAAGGAUGUGGGGUCGCGAAGACAACCAGGAGGUUGGCUUAGAAGCAGCCACCCUUGAAAGAGUGCGUAAUAGCUCACUGGUCAAGUGAUCCUGCGCCGACAAUGUAGCGGGGCUCAAGUACACCGCCGAAGCCGCGGCACUCCACCAUGACAUCCGCAGAGGUUUACGGACUUCUGUGUAGUGGGUGGGGUGGGUAGGGGAGCGUCCUGCAUCCGUGGAAGCGCCGGAGUGAUCCAGGUGUGGAGGGUGUGGGAGUGAGAAUGCAGGCAUGAGUAGCGAAAGCAGAGUGAGAAACUCUGCCGCCGAAUGACCAAGGGUUCCUGGGCCAGGCUAAUCCGCCCAGGGUGAGUCGGGACCUAAGGCGAGGCCGACAGGCGUAGUCGAUGGACAACGGGUUGAUAUUCCCGUACCCGUGUAUCCGCGCCCAUGCUGAAUCAGUUGUACUAACCAUCCUGAUCCCCCGGGAGCACCUUCGGGUGCCGAGUGGGGUGAUGCAUGGGACCUUGGCUGGUAGUAGGCAAGCGAUGGGGUGACGCAGGAAGGUAGUGGGGCCAGUCAGUGGUUGUACUGGUGUAAGCCUGUAGGGCGAGUGAUAGGCAAAUCCGUCACUCACAUAGCCUGAGAGGUGAUGCGUAGCCGUUGUGGCGAAUUCCAUGAUCCUAUGCUGCCGAGAAAAGCCUCUAGUGAGUUGGUACACGGCCCGUACCCCAAACCAACACAGGUGGUCAGGUAGAGAAUACUAAGGCGAUCGAGAGAACUGUGGUUAAGGAACUCGGCAAAAUGCCCCCGUAACUUCGGGAGAAGGGGGACCCAUCCUGGUGAACGAAUGUACUUCGGGAGCUGGUGUGGGUCGCAGAGACCAGAGAGAAGCGACUGUUUACUAAAAACACAGGUCCGUGCGAAGUCGUAAGACGAUGUAUACGGACUGACGCCUGCCCGGUGCUGGAAGGUUAAGAGGACCGGUUAAUCACUUCGGUGGUGAAGCUGAGAAUUUAAGCCCCAGUAAACGGCGGUGGUAACUAUAACCAUCCUAAGGUAGCGAAAUUCCUUGUCGGGUAAGUUCCGACCUGCACGAAUGGCGUAACGACUUCUCUGCUGUCUCAACCACAGACUCGGCGAAAUUGCAGUACGAGUAAAGAUGCUCGUUACGCGCGGCAGGACGAAAAGACCCCGGGACCUUCACUAUAGCUUGGUAUUGGUGUUCGGUUCGGUUUGUGUAGGAUAGGUGGGAGACUGUGAAGUGGGCACGCCAGUGUUCAUGGAGUCGUUGUUGAAAUACCACUCUGAUCGUAUUGGACUUCUAACCUCGGACCCUGAUCGGGUUCAGGGACAGUGCCUGGUGGGUAGUUUAACUGGGGCGGUUGCCUCCUAAAAGGUAACGGAGGCGCCCAAAGGUUCCCUCAGCCUGGUUGGCAAUCAGGUGUUGAGUGUAAGUGCACAAGGGAGCUUGACUGUGAGACGUACAUGUCGAGCAGGGACGAAAGUCGGGACUAGUGAUCCGGCACCGGCAAGUGGAAGCGGUGUCGCUCAACGGAUAAAAGGUACCCCGGGGAUAACAGGCUGAUCUUCCCCAAGAGUCCAUAUCGACGGGAUGGUUUGGCACCUCGAUGUCGGCUCGUCGCAUCCUGGGGCUGGAGUAGGUCCCAAGGGUUGGGCUGUUCGCCCAUUAAAGCGGCACGCGAGCUGGGUUUAGAACGUCGUGAGACAGUUCGGUCUCUAUCCGCCGCGCGCGUAAGAAACUUGAGGAAACCUGUCCCUAGUACGAGAGGACCGGGACGGACGAACCUCUGGUGUGCCAGUUGUCCCGCCAGGGGCACUGCUGGUUAGCUACGUUCGGAAGGGAUAACCGCUGAAAGCAUCUAAGCGGGAAGCCUGUUCCAAGAUGAGGUUUCUCACCCCCUUCGCGGGGUUAAGGCCCCCCACAGACCAUGGGGUUGAUAGGCCAGAACUGUACGCACAGCAAUGUGUUCAGGUGACUGGUACUAAUCGGCCGAGGACUUACCAAC
rnacentral:rRNA from 1 species